GAUGAAGAACGUAGCGAAAUGCGAUAAGUAAUGCGAAUUGCAGAAUUCAGUGAGACAUCGAAUCUUUGAACGCACAUUGCGCCCUGUGGUAUUCCGCAGGGCAUGCCUGUUCGAGCGUCAUUUCAACCCUCAAGCUCUGCUUGGUGUUGGGCCACGCCCUCGCGGCCGGCCCCAAAGCCAGUGGCGGCGCCGUCCGGCUCUAAGCGUAGUACAUCUCUCGCUCUAGGGCCCGGCGGCUGCCUGCCAGAACCCCAAACUCUUAUGGUUGACCUCGGAUCAGGUAGGGAUACCCGCUGAACUUAAGCAUAUCAAUAAGCGGAGGA
rnacentral:misc_RNA from 1 species